CCUUGAAAUUCGGACGGUCAGGCCCCAUACUUGGCGACAUGGUUGUAAUUCCGGCAAUCUGGAAGCGCUUCGGACGCGGGUUCGAUUCCCGCCACCUCCACCUAAGCGCAUUGCGGCAAGACAGCGUCGUGUUCUUAGGUGGGGGUGCACCGGUUUCGACGGGGUGAGUGAAGGAAAGCAGGCAACUCGUCAGGCGAUCGACGUUAAUGAAGCAAAUCUCCAAACGCCAACGAUGAGCGUUUCGCACUGGCCGCUUAAGGCCUAUGCCGAGGCUGCUUGAGCCUUGUUACCAAAGAAAAGCCGGCGGGGACUUCGGUCCCCGUCGUCA
rnacentral:tmRNA from 1 species